AAAGACAAGAAUCUAUAGUCUUAAGCUUUUUAAGUUUUUGCAAUCACUGUUAGUAGGUAAGCUUUCUGCAUCUUAGCAGCUGUAUGCACCAGGAACAUUUUUUCUUUUUAUUUGUGGCUUUCCUUCCACUGCUUAUAUGCCAGCUAGAGAAUGUGGACCUUGUAUUGCAGGCCUUCUGGAAUCACUGUGUUUCCAGGAAUUAGAAUGUAGUGGUUCAAAUUAAACAUUGCGUUACACGCAGUGCCCUUGCCAAGGCAUUUCCUACCGAGUAACAACAUUUAUUUCAUUACUGUUUAGGACCGUUUUUGGAAGGAAGUACUGACAAAUCAGAAAAUGAUGCACCUCCCAAAGGUGUAUGGGUCACUGCUUCUCAUUGCCCUCAGCUCCUACAGAAAAGGCCGUGGAGACGAAGGCUUUUGGAAACAAGUCUACCAAACACUGAGGAGGCCGCCCUUCCGCAGCACCAUCUCCUGGGAGGAGCAGACCCACAGGGAAUUUCUCCAAUAUGACCUGGCCCCAUGGCUCCCUUCCUGAAGACAGACCUGGCUGUGGAUUUUAUAAUGAGCUCUGUGAAACUCAGUCUGCUUUUACGGGUAAGUAUGGCUGUUUGGAGAAGGUAGCAGGGAAAGACUUUCUAUAGUAGGGUCUCUGUAUGGCAGGCAGCACUAUUGACAUUUUGGGCCAGAUAAUUUUUGUGUAUGGGGAGGCUGGCAUUUCAAGUCAUGCAUCCCUGUAUAUUAUAAGAUGUUUAGCAGUAUCCCUGGCCUCUACCCACAGAUGCCUGUAGCAGCUCUCUAGUUGGAACGAGAAAUGUCUCCAGACAUGGCCAAAUAUCCCCUAGGAGGCAACAUCACCUUUUUCCCCUGUGGAGAAACACUGCUCUAAGGG
rnacentral:lncRNA from 1 species